rnacentral:rRNA from 1 species
UUUUAGUAUUGGAGAUUUGGUUACUUUGAGUAAAUUAGAGUGUUCAAAGCAAACAGUUAAAGCAUUUUACUGCGUUUGAAUACUACAGCAUGGAAUAACAAAAUUGAACAAGUCAGAAUUCUGUUCUUUUUUCUUAUUUUGGCUUAGUUACGAUUAAUAGGAGUAGCUUGGGGGCAUUUGUAUUCAGAUGUCAGAGGUGAAAUUCUUAGAUUUUCUGGAGACAAACAACUGCGAAAGCAUUUGCCUAAAAUAUUUCCAUUAAUCAAGAACGAAAGUUAAGGGAGUGAAGACGAUCAGAUACCGUCGUAAUCUUAACCAUAAACUAUGCCAACUAGGUUUUGGAUGAAAAAUUUUUAAAUAAGAGAAUUCCUUUCGGGGAAAUUUCUUAGAUUGCUUCUUUCAGUACCUUAUGAGAAAUCAAAGUCUUUGGGUUCUGGGGCGAGUAUUCGCGCAAGCGAGAAAGUUAAAAGAAUUGACGGAAGGGCACCACCAGGCGUGGAGCUUGCGGCUUAAUUUGACUCAACACGGGGAAACUCACUAGUUUAAGACAAGAGUAGGAUUGACAGAUUAAUAGCUCUUUCUUGAUUUCUUGGAUGGUGAUGCAUGGCCGUUUUUAGUUCGUGAAUAUGAUUUGUCUGGUUAAUUCCGAUAACGAACGAGAUCUUAACCUGCUAAUUAGCGGCGAAUACGUUAUAUUCUUAUGUGAAAUUGAAUAUAGCUGAAUUUGCUUAUUUUGAAGAAUACAUUAGGAUACAAUUAAUGUGUCCUUUU